AUUGAACGCUGGCGGCAUGCUUUACACAUGCAAGUCGAACGGUAACAGCACUUCGGUGGCUGACGAGUGGCGAACGGGUGAGUAAUACAUCGGAACGUGCCUAGUAGUGGGGGAUAACUACUCGAAAGAGUAGCUAAUACCGCAUGAGAUCUAAGGAUGAAAGCAGGGGACCUUCGGGCCUUGCGCUACUAGAGCGGCUGAUGGCAGAUUAGGUAGUUGGUGGGAUAAAAGCUUACCAAGCCGACGAUCUGUAGCUGGUCUGAGAGGACGACCAGCCACACUGGGACUGAGACACGGCCCAGACUCCUACGGGAGGCAGCAGUGGGGAAUUUUGGACAAUGGGCGCAAGCCUGAUCCAGCAAUGCCGCGUGCAGGAUGAAGGCCUUCGGGUUGUAAACUGCUUUUGUACGGAACGAAAAGCCCUCUUCUAAUACAGGAGGGUCGUGACGGUACCGUAAGAAUAAGCACCGGCUAACUACGUG
rnacentral:rRNA from 1 species